UGCUCAGGUAGCUCGGAUAGUUUGAACAGCUGCAAGUCAGCAUGGAUAUUUCUCACUUAAAAAAGACUUUCAACAAAGUUUUAUGAAGAAAAAAAAGGUACUGUGACCUGCACCUGACCUGCAGGAUCUAUUUCAUGCAGUCUUGAAGAGUUUUAACAAGGACAAUUUACCUGAGAGCUCUGCUGAAGCAUGAACAAUCCAAGGCCCAUGUCCACUAUCAGAAGCUGUGGCUCCAUAUCAUUGCGCACAAUGCAAAAGGUAACGUUAAAGGGAAACAAGGACAUAUUAAACUGUUGCAUGUGUUGGCAGAAAAAAGAUGAAUAUACUGUUAAUAGUCCCAGGAAUGACUCAUGCAGGCUACAGCUGGUGUUUGACAGAUAAUGAUACUGUAGCCAAGGCCACAAAGCUUUUGAAGCUGGUUUGUAGGCCACCUUCCACCAACACAUCUGUGGAGUGGACCUUUUCUGUAAAGCUCAUAAAGACCUGCAGCCAUAACACAAUGCAACAACAGGCUUUCCUCCUUGGACCUUGGCUCAUAUUUCUUAUUGAAAAGGUGAUAUUGAAACCGACGUAAUACACCUAACACUGAGGACUUCAACAACAAAGUCAUUGACAUCUUUGUCCAGAGGGAUAUAGGCGCCUGGAUCUACAAAUAAAAAUGAAGGCAGGUGAGUCACCCCUCGCGUGAGAAAGGCGCGCAGAGCUCCGGGUGCUCUCCAGGUAUCUGGAAAAGGCGACGCGGAAGGAAGGAAGUCGUGAUCUGUGCGGCGGAUUGCGCACACGGAGGACGGAGAGGAACGGACCGAUGAGACAACAUGGGUCCAUUGAUGUGUGAUGGACGACUGACACACCUCCUCUUUCCUCUUCUCCUCCUCUUACGGGCUCCCCUGCUGUUCAGCUUUGGUGAGCGCACCUGUCCCAAUAGCUGCCGAUGUGAGGGGAAAACGGUCCAUUGUGAUUCCGCUGGCUUCUUAGAUGUCCCAGAGAACAUCUCAGUAGGCUGCCAAGGCCUCUCCCUGCGCUACAAUGAACUGCACACUCUGCUUCCGUAUCAAUUUGCUCACCUCAGCCAGCUUCUCUGGAUAUACUUGGACCAUAAUCAGAUUUCAGCCGUUGACAGUCGAGCAUUCCAGGGGGUCCGCAGGCUUAAAGAGCUGAUACUGAGCUCCAACAGGAUCACAUCCCUGCACAAUUCAACAUUCCACGGAAUUCCCAAUCUUCGCAGUCUGGACUUGUCCUACAACAAAUUGGAAAUCCUGCAGCCAGGUCAAUUCCACGGCUUACGGAAAUUGCAAAACCUACACCUACGCUCAAAUGGUCUCUCCAACAUCCCGAUUCGAGCAUUCCUGGAGUGCCGAAGUUUGGAGUUUCUGGAUUUGGGCUAUAAUCGAAUCAAGGCUCUUACCCGCACCACCUUUUUGGGGCUACAGAAGCUGAUGGAGUUGCAUCUGGAGCACAACCAGUUCUCAAGGAUCAACUUUUUUCUGUUUCCGCGCUUAGCCAACCUGAGAUCACUCUAUCUGCAGUGGAACCGCAUUAGGGUGGUCAACCAGGGCCUUCCGUGGACUUGGUAUACACUGCAGAAACUCGAUCUGUCUGGAAAUGAAAUCCAGACCCUGGAUCCAGCUGUGUUUCACUGCUUGCCCAACCUUCAAGUCCUCAACCUGGAAUCCAACAAACUGUCCAAUGUGUCUCAGGAGGCGGUGUCGGCAUGGAUCUCACUGACCUCCAUCAGCCUAGCUGGGAACAUGUGGGACUGUGGAACUGGCAUAUGCCCACUUGUGGCUUGGUUGAGGAAUUUUCGGGGUAGUAAAGACACCACGAUGAUAUGCAGCAGCCCAAAGUAUCUCCAGGGAGAAAAAAUUAUGGAAGCCACAAGGAGCCAUGGUAUUUGUGAGGAAACUGAUUACGUUCUGACUGAAACACCUUCACCAAUGUCGGAGCUCAUUUCUGAAGCCACCGGUGAACCGACCUUUGCCCCUACUAGCGGCUCUCCACCAGCCAGCACCUUUGGUCCUGUCCCACCAUUCAGACCUCGACCGAUUCCUCAUCCUACCCUUCCAGGGCAUAUGAGCAAAGACCCAAGGGAUUCAGUCACUCGCACUCGACCCACUGUCAUACCACCCCCAGAGUCGGAGCACAUGACUCUGCACAAAGUGGUGGUGGGCAGCGUGGCACUCUUCUUCACCAUGUCCCUAAUCUUGACAAUUAUCUAUGUGUUGUGGCGGCGCUAUCCAGGUGCAACCAGGUUGCUGCAGCAGCGAUCCAUGGUGGGGCGGAAGCGUCGCAAAAAGAGUCCAGAGCCAGAGCAGAACCUGAGCUCCCAGCUCCAAGAGUAUUACAUGAGCUACAACCCUGCUGCCACACCAGAGGCAUUGGAGGUGCUAGGCAAUGGCACUGGUUCCUGCACAUGCACAAUUUCUGGCUCCAGGGAGUGUGAGGUAUGAUUCAUCGCAUCAGCCCAAAAAUAAAAACUCAAAAUCAAAAUACAAAGGCUCAACAGAGAGAAUGAGUACACAUGCCCACGCCCCCUACCCGGUGCCUGGCUGGGAGAUGUGCCUACCAUCCAUUAACCCCUAAAAGGAACUGCUUUGGAUGGUGCAGCAAACUACACUGAAACAGGGAUACAGGAGAGAGACAUAUGCAGAAGAACCCAUAAUUCACAUUCAAGGAUACAUUUAACAUGGUCCUCCAUGCUAACAAGGGCAACCACCGACCAAGACAAAGAGGAGAUAAUACGGUCUUUUUCUUUUUCUUAAGAUUUUAUAAUGUGUCUUUUUUUUUUUGGACCUGUGGUCAUCAGCUUUGCUGCAUUCCAUCGUGCGUCAUCACUACACAAAUACUGACACAGAUGGUUGUGGGAAUGCAGCCCUAUGGUGAAUAGCAGAGCCUUGGAAGAAGACUCAUGUGCACUAAUGGAUGGUUAUAGCCAACACGGGAGCUUAUUGUAUAGACUAUAAUAGCUUGUAGUCUCCAUGAGGACAACGUGGCAUUGUUUCAAACACAGGCAAGGGACUGUACACAUUCAAGAGGCUUUAAAAAGUUUAAACUGAGCAACUGAAUCAUUAAUGAAAAUGCACUGAACAGGUGGCUCUGACCGCUCUGCUAACACAGACGUGUAUAAUUUAAAGUGGGUUUCCAUUCCAUCAUCCAUAUGAAGCAUCAUGUUAUCACCUUUCGAUACUUUUUUUGUAAGAAAGACUAAUCAAAGGCUAGGAUGGUGUAAAUGUGCCUCACUGGAGCAGAAACAUUAUGAAAGGAGUUUCUGUGUAAGUUAAGAGGAAUCCGCUUCAUCAGGUGGAAAUCAAGGCAGAAGCUGGAAGAUUGUUUGAAGCCAGUGAAAAGUUGCCAGAGGAAAAGCAAACUAUCCCCCAGCCAAUGACCUUUGGUGAAGUUUUUUUGUUUGAUUGUUCGUUUGCUUUUUUUUCUAAAUUGUUUCUAAUUGCAAUAAAACCUUGACUAUUCUAGUUUGGAGGACAGUAAGGCUGCAUUCACACGAGAUCAGGAGAUGCAGCGAUUUGCCACAGGGUUGUACGGAGGUCUGGGCAUGUCACUUUAAUGGCCCAUUAACUGCGUCGAUUAAAGUCUUUUGUUCGCUCAUGGCUGGGUUGGACAGCUGAUGAUUGUCCAUAGUUAAUCACGAUUAAU